UACGGAGGGUGCAAACGUUGCUCGGAAUCAUUGGGCGUAAAGCGCACGUAGGCGGACCAGCAAGUCGGAUGUGAAAUCCCUCAGCUUAACUGAGGACGUGCAUUCGAAACUGCUGGCCUUGAGUACGAAAGAGGAUCGCGGAAUUCCCGGUGUAGAGGUGAAAUUCGUAGAUAUCGGGAGGAACACCAGUGGCGAAGGCGGCGAUCUGGGUCGAUACUGACGCUGAGGUGCGAAAGCGUGGGGAGCAAACAGG
rnacentral:rRNA from 1 species